GAUGAACGCUGGCGGCGUGCCUAAUACAUGCAAGUCGAGCGAACAGACGAGGAGCUUGCUCCUCUGACGUUAGCGGCGGACGGGUGAGUAACACGUGGAUAACCUACCUAUAAGACUGGGAUAACUUCGGGAAACCGGAGCUAAUACCGGAUAAUAUAUUGAACCGCAUGGUUCAAUAGUGAAAGACGGUUUUGCUGUCACUUAUAGAUGGAUCUGCGCCGCAUUAGCUAGUUGGUAAGGUAACGGCUUACCAAGGCAACGAUGCGUAGCCGACCUGAGAGGGUGAUCGGCCACCCUGGAAGUGAGACACGGUCCAGACUCCUACGGGAGGCAGCAGUAGGGAAUCUGACGCAAUGGGCGAGAGCCUGACGGAGCAACGCCGCGUGAGUGAUGAAGGUCUUCGGAUCGUAAAACUCUGUUAUUAGGGAAGAACAAAUGUGUAAGUAACUAUGCACGUCUUGACGGUACCUAAUCAGAAAGCCACGGCUAACUACGUG
rnacentral:rRNA from 1 species